CAGCCUUUAACAUCAAAAAAGAGAGUUUCAAAUCAAAUUUUGAACUGUUUAAAAUAGAUAAACAAAACAAAAAAGUUCACUCAGAUUGAUUUUAAUUGAAUGGAUCUCUCGAUCUUAAAAUUGAUUUACACUCUUAACCUUUUUUCGUUUUGGUAUAAUGUAAAAACUUAUAUAAGAGAUUUUUUACAAAAACAGAAAUUAAACAAAGAAAAACAUAAAAAUAAAAAUUAUGUAGUAAACAAUAGUACUACAGGAGAGGCCACAAAAGAAGAAAUUAACAAAAGGAGCUGGAACGUUCUGAGUUCUGACAGAAAAAGCCACGAGAAAACCGUCGAUGUUGCCACGAGUGAACCGCGAUUCGAACCCAGCCUUUAACAUAUAAUUAGGAUCGAGUUAGAGAAGGUUAAAGAUGACAAAAAGAGAGUUUGAAAUCAAUUUUUGGACUGAUUAAAAUAGAUAAACAUAAAAAUAAAACAAAGAAAAACAUAAAACUAAAAACUGCAGAAACAACAGUACUGCAGAAGGCCACAAAAGAUGAAAUUAACGACAGGAGCUAGCAUGUUCUGACGAAAGAAGACACGAGAAAACCGUCGAUGUUGCCACAAGUGAACUGCGACCUGAACCUACCUUUUAACAUAUCAUUAGCAUCGAGUUAGAGAAGGUAAAAGAUGACAAAAAGAGAGUUCGAAAUCAAUUUUUGGACUGUUAAAAUAGAUAAACGAAACAAAAAAUUUCACCCAAACUGACAUUAAUUGAAUGGAUCUUUCGAUCUUAAACUUGAAUUACACUCUUAAAUAUUUUGUUUUGGUAAAAUGUAAAAAUUUAUACUAGAUUUCAUAUUUUUUACAAAAAUGGAAAUAAAACAAAGAGAAAAAUAAAACUAAAAACUAUGCAGCAAACAACAGUACUGUAGAAGGCCACAAAAGAUAAAAUUAACGAAAGGAGCUCGAAAUUCCUGAUGGAAGAAGACACGAGAAAACCGUCGACGUUGCCACGAGUGAACUGCGAUCAGAACCCAGCCCUUAACAUAUCAUUAAGAUCGAGUUAGAGAAGGUGAAAGAUGACAAAAAGAGAGUUUGAAAUCAUUUUUUGGAAUGUUUAAAAUAGAUAAACAAAACAAAAAAAGUUCAACUAAACUGAUAUUAAUUGAAUGGAUCUCUCGAUCUUAAAAUUGAAUUACACUCUUCACUUUUUUUUUGUUUUGGUAAAACAUAAAGAAUUUAUACUAGAUUUUAGAUUUUUUACAGACACAAAAGUAAACGAAGAGAAACAUAAAACUAAAAAAAACUAGGCAGCAAACAACAGUACUCGAGAAGACCACAAAAGAUAAAAUUAACCAAAGGAGCUAGAACGUUCUGAGGGAAGAUGACACGAGAAAAUCGUCGAUGUUGCCACGAGUAAACUGCUAUCCUAUCGUAGCCUUUAACAUAUCAUUAGGAUUGAGUUACAGAAGGUAAAAGAUGACAAAAAAGAGUUUGAAAUCAAUGUUUGGACUGUUUAAAAAUCGAUAAACAAAAAAUAAAAGUUCACCCAAACUGAAAUUAAUUGAAUUGAUUUCUCGAUCUUAAAAUUGAAUUACACUCUUAACUUUUUUGUUUUGGUAAAAUAUAAAAAUUUAUACUAGAUUUAAGAUUUUAUACAAAAAACGGAAAUAAAAUAAAGAGAAACACAAAAGCAAAACCAUGCAGCAAACAAUAGUACUGUAGAAGGCCGUAAAGGAUGAAAUUAACGAAAUGAGCUAGAAAGCUCUGACGGAAGAAAACACUAGAAAACCGUUGAUGUUGCCACGAGUUAACCGCGAUCCGAACUUACCCUUUCAAAUAUCAUUAGAAUCGAGUUAGAGAAGGUAAAAGAUGACAAAAAGAGAGUUUGAAAUCAAUUAUUGGACUGUUUAAAUAGAGAAACAAAAUAAAACAUUUCACCCAAACUAAUAUUAAUUGAAUGAGUCUCUCGAUCUUAAAAUUGAAUUACACUGUUAACUUUUUUUUGUUUUGGUAAAAUGUAAAAAUUUAUAAUAGAUUUUUGACUUUUUACAAACGCGGAACUAAAAAAGAGAAACAUAAAUCUAAAAACUAUGCAGCCCUGCAAAAGGCCACAAAAUAUGAAAUGAACGAAAAUAGCUAGAACGUUAUGACAGAAGAAGAGAAGCAAAAACCGUUGAUGUUUUCACGAGUGAACCGCGAUCCGAAGUUAGCCUUUAAAAUAUCAUUAAGAUCGAGUUAGAGAAGGUAAUAGAUGACAAAAAGAGAGUUUGAAAUCUUUUAUUGGACUGUUUAAAAUAAAGAAACAGAGCAAAACAUUUCACGAAACUGAUAUUACCUGAAUGAAUAUCUCGAUCUUAAAAUUGAAUUACAAUCUUAACUUUUUUUUAUUUUGGUAAAAUGUAGAAAAAUUAUAUCAUAGAUGUUUUACAAAACCGGAAAUAAAACAUACAAAAACAUUAUAAAAAAAAACCAGGAAGCAAACAACAGUACUGCAAAAGGCCAGAAAAGAUAAAAUUAACGAAAAUUGCUCGAAAUUCCUGAUGGAAGAUGACACGAGAAAACCUUUGAUGUUGCCACGAGUGAACCGCGAUCAUAACCCAACCCUUAACAUAUCAUUAAGAUCGAGCUAGAGAAGAUAAAAGAUGACAAAAAAAAAAAGAGUUUGAAAUCAAUUUUUGGAAUGUUUAAAAUAGAUAAACAAAACAAAAAAAGUUCAGCUAAACUGAUAUUAAUCGAAUGGAUCUCUCGAUCUUAAAAUUGAAUUACACUCUUAACUUUUUUUUUGUUUUUGGUAAAAUAUAAAAAUUUAUACAAGAUUUUUGAUUUUUUACAAACACGAAAACAAAACGAAGAGAAAUAUAAAACUAAAAAAAAACUAAGCAGCAAAAACCAAUAUUCGAGAAGACCAUGAAAGAUAAAAUUAACCAAAGGAGCAAGAACGUUCUGGCGGAAGAAGACACGAGAAAACCGUCGAUGUUGCCACGAGUAAAUUGCUAUCCUAUCGUAGCUUUUAACAUAUCAUUAGGAUUGAGUUAGAGAAGGUAAAAGAUGACAAAAAGAGAGUUUGAAAUCAAUGUUUGGACUGUUUAAAAUCGAUAAACAAAAAAGAAAAGUUCACCCAAACUAACAUUAAUUGAAUUGAUCUCUCGAUCUUAAAAUUGAAUAACACUUUUAACUUUUUUGUUUUGGUAAAAUAUAAAUAUUUAUACUAGAUUUAAUAUUUUAUACAAAAACAGAAAUAAAAUAAAGAGAAACAUAAAACGAAAACCUAUGCAGCAAACAACAGUACUGUAGAAGGCUGUAAAAGAUGAAAUUAACGAAAGGAGCUAGAAAGCUUUGCCGGAAGAAAACACUAGAAAACCGUUGAUGUUGCCACGAGUGAACCGCGAUCCGAACCUACCCUUUCAAAUAUCAUUAGGAUCCAGUUAGAGAAGGUAAAAGAUGACAAAAGAGAGUUUGAAAUCAAUUUUUGGACUGUUUAAAUAGAGAAACAAAAUAAAACAUUUCACCCAAACUGAUAUUAAUUGAAUGAAUCUCUCGAUCUUAAAAUUGAUUACACUGUUAACUUUUUUAUUGUUUUGGUAAAAUGUAAAAAUUUAUAAUCGAUUUUUGACUUUUUACAAACACGGAAAAAAAAAAGAGAAACAUAAAUCUAAAAACUAUGCAGCCGUGCAGAAGGCCACAAAAUAUGAAAUUAACGAAAAUAGCUAGAACGUUAUGACAAAAGAAGAGAAAAGAAAACCGUUGAUGUUUUCACGAGUGAACCGCGAUCCAAACCUAGCCUUUAAAAUAUCAUUAAGAUCGAGUUAGAGAAGGUAAACGAUGACAAAAAGAGAGUUUGAAAUCUUUUUUUCGACUGUUUAAAAUAGAGAAACAAAACAAAAUAUUUCACCCAAACUGAAAUUAAUUGAAUGGAUAUCUCGAUCUUAAAAUUGAAUUACAAUCAUAUUCUUUUUUUUUUGGUAAAAUAUAAAAAAAUAUAUGAUAGAUUUUUUACAAAAACGGAAAUAAAACAAAGAAAAACAUAAAACUAAAAAAAAACUAGGCAGCAAACAACAGUACUGCAGAAGGCCACAAAAGAUGAAAUUAACGAAAGGAGCUAGAACGUUCUUACGGAAGAAGACACGAGAAAACCGUCGAUGUUGCCACGAGUAAACUGCUAUCCUGUCGUAGCCUUUAACAUAUCAUUAGGGUUGAGUUAGAGAAGGUAACAGAUGACAAAAAUAAAGUUUGACAUCAAUGUUUGGACUGUUAAAAAUAGAUAAACAAAAAGAAAAGUUCACCCAAACUAACAUUAAUUGAAUGGAUCUCUCAAUCUUAAAAUUGAAUUACACUCUUAACUUUUUUGUUUUAGUAAAAUGUAAAAAUUUAUACUAGAUUUAUGAUUUUAUAAAAAAACGGAAAUAAAACAAAGAGAAACGUAAGACCAAAAACUAUGCAGCAAACAACAGUACUGUAGAAGGCCAUAAAAGAUGAAAUUAACGAAAGGAGCUAGAAAGCUUUGACAGAAGAAAACACGAGAAAACCGUUGAUGUUACCACGAGUGAACCGCGAUCUGAAUCUAACCUUUAAAAUAUCAUUAGGAACGAGUUAGAUAAAGUAAAAGAUGACAAGAAGAGAGUUUGAAAUCAAUUUUUGGACUGUUUAAAUAGAGAAACAAGAUAAAACAUUUCACCCAAACUGAUAUUAAUUGAAUGAAUCUCUCGAUCUUAUAAUUGAAUUACACUCUUAACUUUUUUUUGUUUUGGUAAAAUAUAAAAAUUUAUAAUAGAUUUUUGACUUUUUACAAACACGAAAAUAAAAAAUAGAAAGAUAAAUCUAAAAACUAUGCAGCACUGCAGAAGACCACAAAAUAUGAAAUUAACGAAAAUAGCUAGAACGUUAUGACAGAAGAAGAGAAGAGAAAACCGUUUAUGUUGCCACGAGUGAACCGCGAUCCGAACCUAGCCUUUAAAAUAUCAUUAAGAUCGAGUUAGAGAAGGUAAAAGAUGACAAAAACAGAGUUUGAAAUCUUUUUUUGGACUGUUUAAAAUAGAGAAACAAAACAAAACAUUUCACCCAAACUGAUAUUACUUGAAUGGAUAUCUCGAUCUUAAAAUUGAAUUACAAUCUUAACUUUUCUUUUAU
rnacentral:lncRNA from 1 species